GACGAACGCUGGCGGCGUGCCUAAUACAUGCAAGUAGAACGCUGAAGGAGGAGCUUGCUUCUCCGGAUGAGUUGCGAACGGGUGAGUAACGCGUAGGUAACCUGCCUGGUAGCGGGGGAUAACUAUUGGAAACGAUAGCUAAUACCGCAUAAGAGUAGAUGUUGCAUGACAUUUGCUUAAAAGGUGCAAUUGCAUCACUACCAGAUGGACCUGCGUUGUAUUAGCUAGUUGGUGGGGUAACGGCUCACCAAGGCGACGAUACAUAGCCGACCUGAGAGGGUGAUCGGCCACACUGGGACUGAGACACGGCCCAGACUCCUACGGGAGGCAGCAGUAGGGAAUCUUCGGCAAUGGACGGAAGUCUGACCGAGCAACGCCGCGUGAGUGAAGAGGGUUUUCGGAUCGUAAAGCUCUGUUGUGAGAGAAGAACGAGUGUGAGAGUGGAAAGUUCACACUGUGACGGUAUCUUACCAGAAAGGGACGGCUAACUGCGUGCCUGCAGCCGCGGUUAUACUUAGGUCCCGAGCGUUGUCCGGAUUUAUUGGGGGGUAAAGCGCUUGUAAGGGGUUUAGAUGAUUCUGAGUUUAAGUGUGUGGGUUAACCUUGUACGCUUUGGAAAUGUGUUUAUUUUGAGUGCAGGUGGGGAGAGUGGAAUUUCUGUGGUUGCUGUGAGAUGCUGUGAUUUGUUGAGAAUGAUGGUGUGGUUGUGCUUUCUUUUGUUUGUUGCUGUGUGCUGUGUUUUGGUGGCUGUGUGGUUGUGGUGGAUGGUGUGUGUGUCUGAGAUGUAUGUGUGUGGUGUGGUGUGGGGUGUGGUGUGGUGGUGGUGGGAAUGAAAGUGUGUAUAUUUGUGUGCUUUUUUGUGUGUAUAUGUUGUU
rnacentral:rRNA from 1 species